CUGAUUUAAUAAGUGAUUAACUAAUAUGAGACAUUUAUUUUUAGUAAGAUAUCAAUUAAAAUGAAACGAAAAGAAUGAGGAAAAUCCGUUGUCGCACUUUCCACCCAGAGGACAAGAAAUUCCUUUCUAGGUUGUUAGUUGGAUAUAUCUGUAUUUGUGACCCUACAAAAAAAUAUAUUUAUGAGAAAACUAAUAAACCAAAGUUAAUAAUUGAAUAUUUAGCAUUGAAAAAAUUAUUUGGAUUUUGUAUGGUUUGGUGGUUUGAAUAAGAAAUAAUAUGCUUAUAUGUUAGAAAAGGGAAUGCAAAUAUCUGAUUUGAUAACUGGACUGGGUUCAGAAAUUUGUAUUCUAUGAAAAAUGUGGAGGAGGAUGUCAGAUAUCAACAGAUGAAGGAGUUGACAAAGGAUGAAAAAUGGAAUGAGAAAGUGAUGCAGUAUCUAUUUUCAGAGGAAAUUGUUCAACAUAUGCUUAAUAAGAUACAACCACCUGGCCAAGAAAAUGAAGAGGAUAAAGCAAUCUGGAUUAUUGAGGCUAAAGGUCUUUUUACGAUAAAAACAGCUUGGCGAUAUGUUAGGAAAAAAAAAAGAGGUUAAUGAUACAUAUAAAGAUAUUUAAGUGAAGGGCAUACCUUUUAAAAUAUCUUUUCUCAUGUGGAGAUUGUGGAAGGAAAAGGUUUCAGUGGAUGAUAAUAUUAGGAGAUGUGGUUUUGAAGGUCCAUCAAGGUGUUGGUUUUGUUCUAAUCCAGCACAAGAGAUUAUGUCUCAUGUGUUCCUGAGAUCAAAUUUUACUAACAGGACUUGGUCCUACUUUGCUAAUUUUGUAGGUAUACAUAUUCACGGACUAAGCUUAAGAGAAACAAUUCUUCAAUAGUGGGCAGUUAUAGUAAAACCCAGGGAGAAUGUAUUUUAAAGAAUUAUCAGGGCUCAUCAUUUGGGAGUUGUGAAA